UACGGGGGGUGCAAGCAUUGAUCGGAAUUACUGGGCGUAAAGGGCGCGUAGGCGGCACUAAAAGUCAGAUGUGAAAUUCCGGGGCUCAACCCCGGAGCUGCAUUUGAAACUCUAGAGCUAGAGUUCAGUUAGGGUAAACGGAAUUCCACGUGUAGCGGUGAAAUGCGUAGAUAUGUGGAAGAACACCGGUGGUGAAGACGGUUUACUGGGCUGAUACUGACGCUGAGGCGCGAAAGCGUGGGGAGCAAACGGG
rnacentral:rRNA from 1 species